UUUCAUCAGUUGUUUAUCAACCACCCACAUUUCUCAUUUCUCUUCGAUCCACUACACUUACCCAUUGUCUAUUUUUAAUUCAACCUUCAAUCUCCUCUUCACUUUACCACAACCGUUGGACAAAUUUUCCACCGCUUUUUUGACACUGUAAAAUCAUGUCUGUGAUGACAUUGAUGGUACGGUCGGCAGCAAUGCUAGUAACAACGCUAGUGAGUGAACCAACGGCCUCGUUCACAACGUUGCUUUAUUACAGCGAUCUUCUACCGCAAAACCUCAACUUAGAAAGACUUGUUCGGAGGGACUUGCUGGACCCAGAAAACUACUUGUUUCAUUUUCUCAUCAACCUCUUGAGAUGUUUUUGACCCCCUGAGAUUGGAUCAUUUUGGUGGGAAGAGAGGGAUAGCAUCCAUUGAUGAAUCCCAGAGUUUGAUGUAGCGCCAUACUCUAAACUGCAUAUUAUGCAUUUGGAGACAAGUCCUAGGUUAACGAGUAGACUUAGAACUGGGAACUAAUAUUGUAGGAAAGAUGACUAUGCUAAUUAAUGAAAUUCCAUUACCAGAGUUUUAUUUUUCA